rnacentral:tRNA from 1 species
ACGGGCGGAUGUAGCCAAGUGGAUUAAGGCGGNGGAUUUGUGAAUCCACCAUGCGGG